GACGAACGUUGGCGGCGUGCUUAAUACAUGCAAGUCAACUGAAGCAGUGGUAGCAAUAUCGCUGUGGAGGUGGCGCACGGGUGAGUAACACGUAGGUAAUCUGCCUUCAGAUCUGGCAUAACUCCGGGAAACCGGGGCUAAUAGCAGAUGAUGCAGCGGCUCGACAUCGAGACAGUUGUUAAAGCUAUGGCGCCUGAAGAUGAGCCUGCGUCUGAUUAGCUAGUUGGCGGGGUAACGGCCCACCAAGGCAACGAUCAGUAGCUGGUCUGAGAGGAUGAUCAGCCACACUGGAAGUGAGACACGGUCAAGACUCAUACGGGAGGCAGCAGUAAGGAAUAUUGCUCAAUGGGAGAAAUCCUGAAGCAGCAACGACGCGUGAGGGACGAAGGGCUUUUGCUUGUAAACCUCUGUAGUGAGAGAAAAAAAUCCCAAUCUUUGGGACAUGAUGGUAUCUCAAAAGUAAGCCCCGGCUAACUACGUG
rnacentral:rRNA from 1 species